CCGAGUUUACAACUCCCAAACCCAAUGUGAACAUACCUAACUGUUGCCUUCGGCGGGGUCAUGCCCCGGGCGCCUCGUGUAGCCCCGGAAUCAGGCGCCCGCCGGAGGACAACUUAACUCUUUUGUAGUCCUCGGGAAGUCUUCUUAGUAGUUUUAGCAAAAUAAAAUGAAUC
rnacentral:misc_RNA from 1 species